UAACUGCUUCAAGCAUCACUGGAGCGACGCGCGGAGGAGCGUGUGUUUGGAGGUCACGCCGGGAGGCAUCGAUCAGAUCGACCCUCAGAGCAACCGCGUGAUCUGCUCGUACGACUACCGCUGCGUGGAGGGCUUCGCCGAGCUCUCCGACUAUCAGGGAGGCUUCUGUGUGCUGUAUGGAGGCUUCGGCAGACUGCAUCUGUUUGCGUCCGAGCACCGUGACGAGAUCAUUCGCAGUGCGAUCGAACACGCCGGGAGCUUCAUCGGCAUCACGCUGCGCCUGCGUAAGGAGCUUCUGGCGUUCGAGGGCUUCCUUGGCGAGCGUCUGGGGAAGUACGGUUCGGACGAGUGCAUCACCUCACUGACCGAGUUCAUCGUGCAGAAGAUCACGCCGCGGCACACGGAGCCUGUGAGGAGGAUCCUGGCGCUCACAGAGACGUGUCUGGUGGAGCGAGACCCUGCCUCUUACAACAUCGUCACC